rnacentral:rRNA from 1 species
GAUGAACGCUGGCGGCGUGCCUAAUACAUGCAAGUCGAGCGAACAGACGAGGAGCUUGCUCCUCUGACGUUAGCGGCGGACGGGUGAGUAACACGUGGAUAACCUACCUAUAAGACUGGGAUAACUUCGGGAAACCGGAGCUAAUACCGGAUAAUAUAUUGAACCGCAUGGUUCAAUAGUGAAAGACGGUUUUGCUGUCACUUAUAGAUGGAUCCGCGCCGCAUUAGCUAGUUGGUAAGGUAACGGCUUACCAAGGCAACGAUGCGUAGCCGACCUGAGGGGGUGAUCGGCCACCCUGGAACUGAGACACGGUCCAGACUCCUACGGGAGGCAGCAGUAGGCAAUCUUCCGCAAUGGGCGAAAGCCUUACGGAGCAACGCCGCGUGAGUGAUGAAGGUCUUCGGAUCGUAAAACUCUGUUAUUAGGGAAGAACAAAUGUGUAAGUAACUAUGCACGUCUUGACGGUACCUAAUCAGAAAGCCACGGCUAACUACGUG